GGGAGGAGGAUUACCUCAGGUACUAAAUUGGUGAGGGAGGAGGAUUACCUCAGGUACUAAAUUGGUGAGGGAGGAGAAUUACCUCAGGUACUAAGUUGGUGAGGGAGGAGGAUUACCUCAGGUACUAAGUUGGUGAGGGAGGAGGAUUACCUCAGGUACUAAGUUGGUGAGGGAGGAGGAUUACCUCAGGUACUAAGUUGGUGAGGGAGGAGGAUUACCUCAGGUACUAAGUUGGUGAGGGAGGAGGAUUACCUCAGGUACUAAGUUGGUGAGGGAGGAGGAUUACCUCAGGUACUAAGUUGGUGAGGGAGGAGGAUUACCUCAGGUACUAAGUUGGUGAGGGAGGAGGAUUACCUCAGGUACUAAGUUGGUGAGGGAGGAGGAUUACCUCAGGUACUAAGUUGGUGAAGCAGGAGGAUUACCUCAGGUACUAAGUUGGUGAGGGAGGAGGAUUACCUCAGGUACUAAAUUGGUGAGGGAGGAGGAUUACCUCAGGUACUAAAUUGGUGAGGGAGGAGGAUUACCUCAGGUACUAAAUUGGUGAGGGAGGAGGAUUACCUCAGGUACUAAAUUGGUGAGGGAGGAGGAUUACCUCAGGUACUAAAUUGGUGAGGGAGGAGGAUUACCUCAGGUACUAAAUUGGUGAGGGAGGAGGAUUACCUCAGGUACUAAAUUGGUGAGGGAGGAGGAUUACCUCAGGUACUAAAUUGGUGAGGGAGGAGGAUUACCUCAGGUACUAAAUUGGUGAGGGAGGAGGAUUACCUCAGGUACUAAGUUGGUGAAGGAGGAGGAUUACCUCAGGUACUAAAUUGGUGAGGGAGGAGGAUUACCUCGGGUACUAAAUUGGUGAGGGAGGAGGAUUACCUCGGGUACUAAAUUGGUGAGGGAGGAGGAUUACCUCGGGUACUAAAUUGGUGAGGGAGGAGGAGGGAGGAUUACCUCGGGUACUAAAUUGGUGAGGGAGGAGGAGGGAGGAUUACCUCGGGUACUAAGUUGGUGAGGGAGGAGGAUUACCUCAGGUACUAAGUUGGUGAGGGAGGAGGAUUACCUCAGGUACUAAAUUGGUGAGGGAGGAGGAUUACCUCAGGUACUAAAUUGGUGAGGGAGGAGGAUUACCUCAGGUACUAAAUUGGUGAGGGAGGAGGAUUACCUCAGGUACUAAAUUGGUGAGGGAGGAGGAUUACCUCAGGUACUAAAUUGGUGAGGGAGGAGGAUUACCUCAGGUACUAAAUUGGUGAGGGAGGAGGAUUACCUCAGGUACUAAAUUGGUGAGGGAGGAGGAUUACCUCAGGUACUAAAUUGGUGAGGGAGGAGGAUUACCUCAGGUACUAAAUUGGUGAGGGAGGAGGAUUACCUCAGGUACUAAAUUGGUGAGGGAGGAGGAUUACCUCAGGUACU